GGGAAAAGGAGGUGAGCAGCCAUUUGCUGCACGACAUUUUCCCGUAUAUUCGCCAUUUGCUGUAUUAUAUCUUUCGAGUGAACCUGCAGAAAUGAGUUGUAUGACUACAAAUACAGAAAAAACAGGUACAUCUCAAGUCAGAUUUUGGAAACACAGACUGGUUACCGAAGACAUUUGAAGAACAGGUGGUGAUGGAUAUCUACUGGAGCCAUAGCUCAUAUCACCAGUGAGAAAAUCCAAGUAGAGCUGCUGAAGACAAUUUUAAUACAGUCCUGUCACAGACAUAUAUUGUCAUCAGAAGAGUGUUUGGUGUGUUGAAAAGCAGAUUCAGAUGAAUGGACGAGUCAAGGAGACCCCUGCAAUUUGACCCAGCUACUGCAUGCAGGAUGUUUACUCAUAUUACUAUUUGCAAAAGACAUGCCUGAGUGCUCACUGAUACUUAUUCAGUGAUGUCAUAAGGAUUCAUAUAUGGAAUAUUUACAUUUUUAACUGAUUUGUAUAAGAAGUUCUGCUUUGGUAGUGUACUUAGGUAUGCACAUCCUGAAUCUCAUAAGAUGUACAUUUAAUAAAAAGUGUUAUUUCAGUAUUUGACUUAAA